rnacentral:ncRNA from 1 species
CCCUGACAGUUGCCUAACGCAGCUGACACUAGCCACGACAGGAGAUUCUCAUG